UGUUGUUUCAGUGAAAAGACCAAAUGACUGUAGUGACUUGGACAAGUCGACUUGUAAAAGUGGAAUCUACAAGAUAUACCACAAUAAAACGCCUGGAUUUAACGUUUUCUGUGAAAUGGAAAAACAUGGCGGAGGAUGGACUGUUUUUCAACAUCGUUAGGAUGGGAAGUUGAAUUUUUACCUAGACUGGGAGUCGUACAAGAAUGGUUUUGGAAAAGUAGAUGGAGAAUGUUGGUUAGGUAAUGACCACCUGCAUCAGAUCACAUCUCAGGGAAAGUACAAACUGUGUGUAGAUAUGCAAGAUUUUGAGAAUAAUUCAAGAUAUGCAAAUUAUAAUCAAUUCGAAAAGCUAACGGUGGCAGGUCAUUUUGGCACUGCAGGAGAUUCAUUCACCUUCCACAAUGGGGAUAAGUUCACAACAAAAGACAAAGAUAACAGAAGUGGAUGCGCAAAUGCAUACAAGGGAGGAUGGUGGUACGGACAUUGUCAUCUUAGCAAUCUAAACGGUCUAUAUUUGAAAAGAAACCACAAUUCGUUUGCAAAUGGUAUUGAGUGGCACAGUUGGAAAGGAUACUACUACUCUCUGAAGACAACAACAAUGAUAAUCCGAAAAGCAUAGACAG